AUAUAUUUAAAAUGCAUUUUGAAGAAAAGCUGUUCGUAAAGACAACGACAGCUCAAUAUGAAGAAUUGGUAAAAUAUAUGGAGUCACAUUUAGAAUUUGCCACAAAUAAGUAUUUAACUAAAGAUGGUAAAAUCCAUCACGCUUAACAAUGGGAGCAGUUGGCAGAAAUGCUUAAUGCAUUGUCUGCAGGCAAUAAGAAAACAUCGAAGCAGUGGCAGACAGUUUGGCGUGAUUUAAAAAGUAAUGCUUCAAAGAAAGCAGCAAAAUUACGCUAUGAAAGGAAUCGGACAGGAAAUUUUCCAUUGAAUUCAGAAAGUCUCGAUAAUUUGCAACAACGUAUUGUUGCCUGUAUGGGGCUACAAUAUGUUGAAGGUGCACAUGAUUGUCCGGACAGUACUCCGGAACAAGAGAAACAUCAACUUCAACUAGGACAUGGGAACGAUGAUGUUCUAAACAUUCCACCAGAGACGACGUCUAUAAGUGAAAUUUUGAAUAUGGAAAAAAACGCAGAUAUCGAUAACGUUUUUGAAAUAAUGGAGACUAAUACAAGUAACGGAAACGAUUUGACAUAUAAUGAUGUUAUGCAAUGUUUAAAUAAUGAAGACACUACAAUGAAAAGGCCGACAGGCUUAAAAAAAGCAACAUCAAAGAGACUGCAACAAAAAAAGAAGGAAAUAUAAUAAGAGAAGUAGUAAACGUAUAAGCGUCGAGCUGCAACAAGCUCGAGAAAAAUUUACAGAAAUUGCUGAAAAUCACGCUAGAGCUCUACAGUUGUUUGCGGAGGCUUCAAUAAAG
rnacentral:misc_RNA from 1 species